CAAUAGCGUAUAUUAAAGUUGUUGCAGUUAGAACGCUCGUAGUCGGAUUUCGGGGCGUUCCGACCGGUCUGCCGAUGGGUAUGCACUGGCCGGAGUGUCCUUUUUGCCGGAGACCGUGCCUACUCUUAACUGAGCGGGGGCGGGAGACGGCACUUUUACUUUGAAAAAAUCAGAGUGUUUCAAGCAGGCAGCUCGCUCUUGCAUGGAUUAGCAUGGGAUAAUGAAAUAGGACUUUGGUGCUAUUUUGUUGGUUUCGAACACCGAAGUAAUGAUGAGAAGGGACAGUCAGGGGCACUCGUAUUCCGCAGAGAGAGGUGAAAUUCUCAGACCCGCGGAAGACGAACCACCGCGAAAGCAUUUGCCAGGGAUGUUUUCACUGA
rnacentral:rRNA from 1 species